rnacentral:rRNA from 1 species
AGUCUAGCAUGUGCGCGGAUCAUUGGGACCGCAUAAACCUAAAGGCGAAAUGAAAGUGAAGGUCGGUCUUGCGCCGACCCAGGGAGGAUGGGCCGCGUCACGGCGCGGCCCCGCACUCCCGGGGCGUCUUGUUCUCAUUGCGAGAAGAGGCGCACCAAGAGCGUACACGCUGGGACCCGAAAGAUGGUGAACUAUGCCUGGUCAGGACGAAGUCAGGGGAAACCCUGAUGGAGGUCCGAAGCGAUUCUGACGUGCAAAUCGAUCGUCGGAACUGGGUAUAGGGGCGAAAGACUAAUCGAACCGUCUAGUAGCUGGUUCCCUCCGAAGUUUCCCUCAGGAUAGCUGGCACUCGCUUUUGCGAGUCUCAUCUGGUAAAGCGAAUGAUUAGAGGCAUUGGGGUCGAAACGGCCUCAACCUAUUCUCAAACUUUAAAUGGGUGAGAUCUCCGGCUUGCUUGAAACGUGAAGCCGCGAGAUCGGAUCAGAGUGCCAAGUGGGCCAUUUUUGGUAAGCAGAACUGGCGCUGUGGGAUGAACCAAACGCAGAGUUAAAGCUCCAAAAUCGACGCUUAUGGGAUACCAUGAAAGGCGUUGGUAACUUAAGACAGCAGGACGGUGGCCAUGGAA